GCACUGCAGAGGAGUCCCAUACUAGAAGGAAACGGCCGUCCAGUGC
rnacentral:hammerhead_ribozyme from 1 species